GACGAACGCUGGCGGCGCGCUUAACACAUGCAAGUCGAGCGAGAACCUAGGCUUCGGCCUAGGGGACAGCGGCGAACGGGUGAGUAACACGUGGGUAAUCUGCCCCUCGACAUCGGGAUAGCCCGGGGGAAACCCGGAUUAAUACCGAAUGGCCCAUCCGCUCUUCGGAGCGGCUGGAAAAGGUAGCUUCGGCCUCCGGUCGAGGAGGAGCCCGCGGCGGAUUAGCUUGUUGGUGAGGUAANGGCUCACCAAGGCGACGAUCCGUAGCUGGUCUGAGAGGACGAUCAGCCACACUGGGACUGAGACACGGCCCAGACUCCUACGGGAGGCAGCAGUGGGGAAUCUUGCGCAAUGGGCGAAAGCCUGACGCAGCGACGCCGCGUGCGGGAAGAAGGCCUGG
rnacentral:rRNA from 1 species